AUUGAACGCUGGCGGCAUGCCUAACACAUGCAAGUCGAGCGGAUGAAGGGAGCUUGCUCCUGGAUUCAGCGGCGGACGGGUGAGUAAUGCCUAGGAAUCGGCCUGGUAGUGGGGGAUAACGUCCGGAAACGGGCGCUAAUACCGCAUACGUCCUGAGGGAGAAAGUGGGGGAUCUUCGGACCUCACGCUAUCAGAUGAGCCUAGGUCGGAUUAGCUAGUUGGUGGGGUAAAGGCCUACCAAGGCGACGAUCCGUAACUGGUCUGAGAGGAUGAUCAGUCACACUGGAACUGAGACACGGUCCAGACUCCUACGGGAGGCAGCAGUGGGGAAUAUUGGACAAUGGGCGAAAGCCUGAUCCAGCCAUGCCGCGGGUGUGAAGAAGGUCUUCGGAUUGUAAAGCACUUUAAGUUGGGAGGACGGGCAGUAAGUUAAUACCUUGCUGUUUUGACGUUACCAACAGAAUAAGCACCGGCUAACUUCGUG
rnacentral:rRNA from 1 species